rnacentral:rRNA from 1 species
CAGUAGCAAUACGUGUGGGUGGCGAGUGGCGGACGGGUGAGGAAUACAUCGGGAUCUACCUGUUGUGGGGGAUAACGUAGGGAAACUUACGCUAAUACCGCAUAAGAACUGAGGUUGAAAGCGGCGGACCGCAAGGCGUCGCGCGAUUGGAUGAACCGAUGUCCGAUUAGCUAGUUGGCGGGGUAAAGGCCCACCAAGGCGACGAUCGGUAGCUGGUCUGAGAGGACGACCAGCCACACUGGAACUGAGACACGGUCCAGACUCCUACGGGAGGCAGCAGUGGGGAAUUUUGGACAAUGGGCGCAAGCCUGAUCCAGCCAUGCCGCGUGAGUGAAGAAGGCCUUCGGGUUGUAAAGCUCUUUCGGUGGGGAAGAAAUUGCUUCGGUUAAUACCUGGAGUAGAUGACGGUACCCGCAUAAGAAGCACCGGCUAACUACGUG